GGCACAGCAUCGACUCCCUCUAAUACUAUGGAGCAGGAUGGCCACAAACUGGGCCAAAGUGUAGGACUUUCUAAGCGAUUUUAACUCAUUACAGACCAAUAUCUAAUCGAUCAGUUAAAUGACAUUAUUGUUGCUCUUGAUGAGAAGCAACGUCAUGCAUCAGUUUUUAUUGAUCCGUCGAAAGUGUUUGACACCGCUGACCGUAAUAUUUUAAAAAACUUCGACUCCUCUGUUAACAAAUUAUCUCAGUAAUAAGCCUCAAGGGGGCGCCACAGGGUUCUGUAUUAGGUCCUCUUUUGAAUUCUGCUCUCUACCAGAAAAACCUGAAGGAGAACCUUCGGCCAUCAGUUCGUGACCUCAAGCUGAAGAGCACUUGGGUUCCGCAGUAGAACAACGAUCUGCGAUCCUCCAGGUUCAUCUCCUCAGGUCGGCCGGGUUUCAUUUCUCCAGGUUCGUCUCCUCGGGUCGGUCGGGUUUCAUUCCUCCAGGUUCGUCUCCUCAAGUCGGCAGGGUUUCAUUCCUCCAGGUUCAUCUCCUCAAGUCGGCCAGGUUUCAUUCCUCCAGGUUCGUCUCCUCAGGUCGGCCAAGUUUCAUUCCUCCAGGUUCGUCUCCUCAGGUCGGCCAGGUUUCAUUCCUCCAGGUUCAUCCCCUCUGGUCGGUCGGGUUUCAUUCCUCCUAGUUUGUCC
ensembl:lncRNA